GGUGAAGCCAAGCUUGCUUGGUGGAUCAGUGGCGAACGGGUGAGUAACACGUGAGCAACCUGCCCUGGACUCUGGGAUAAGCGCUGGAAACGGCGUCUAAUACUGGAUAUGAGCCUCUUCCGCAUGGUGGGGGUUGGAAAGAUUUUUUGGUCUGGGAUGGGCUCGCGGCCUAUCAGCUUGUUGGUGAGGUAAUGGCUCACCAAGGCGUCGACGGGUAGCCGGCCUGAGAGGGUGACCGGCCACACUGGGACUGAGACACGGCCCAGACUCCUACGGGAGGCAGCAGUGGGGAAUAUUGCACAAUGGGCGAAAGCCUGAUGCAGCAACGCCGCGUGAGGGAUGACGGCCUUCGGGUUGUAAACCUCUUUUAGCAGGGAAGAAGCGAAAGUGACGGUACCUGCAGAAAAAGCGCCGGCUAACUACGUGCCAGCAGCCGCGGUAAUACGUAGGGCGCAAGCGUUAUCCGGAAUUAUUGGGCGUAAAGAGCUCGUAGGCGGUUUGUCGCGUCUGCUGUGAAAUCCCGAGGCUCAACCUCGGGCCUGCAGUGGGUACGGGCAGACUAGAGUGCGGUAGGGGAGAUUGGAAUUCCUGGUGUAGCGGUGGAAUGCGCAGAUAUCAGGAGGAACACCGAUGGCGAAGGCAGAUCUCUGGGCCGUAACUGACGCUGAGGAGCGAAAGGGUGGGGAGCAAACAGGCUUAGAUACCCUGGUAGUCCACCCCGUAAACGUUGGGAACUAGUUGUGGGGACCAUUCCACGGUUUCCGUGACGCAGCUAACGCAUUAAGUUCCCCGCCUGGGGAGUACGGCCGCAAGGCUAAACUCAAAGGAAUUGACGGGGACCCGC
rnacentral:rRNA from 1 species